UACGUAAACAGUUUAAUUGCAUAUUUUAUCUAUUGUAAUCUUGCAGCGAAAAUGCAUAAUAAUUGCGAUUUUUUGUCGGAAGUGCAGAUUAAAGUAACGAGCGAUGAAGUGUAUUAUUUACCGCGGAUAUUCACGAUCAACGUUUCGUCGAUCGUUUGGCGACUAGAUUCAAAUAGGUUAUAAUGACAAUAUCCGUACAAAGAGAAACCUUUCUUGUCGUCUUGUCGCCAAUUGUCGUUUGUCUCACUUGCUCUGAAUCCGUACAAUGUCGUAUCAAUCGUCGAAUGUGCAAGGUUAUAAUAUCGUUUACAAUUAUUUGUGUAGUCGCGCGUUACGAAAUAAAGCGUGUUUUUUAUAUAUAUAUUAUAUGUUAUGUUUACGUUUCGUGUACCGCGUUUCGUGUACCGCGUUUCGUGUACCGCGUUUUAUGUAUCGCGUUUUGUGUAUACGCGAAGUAAGUCGCUGUGAUUUUCGCGUCGUUCCGAAAGUAAAGUAUGCAGAUAAGUCUUCAUCUAGUGUAGUGUCAGUAAAUGCAAAAUUGUAGUUUAUCGAUCCUUCGAUGGAGUGGAUUUUUCGAUGAGAUGGAAUCUGCAGCGGAUGAAAUAAACUUACAAAACCCUAGCUGGUACAGCUCAAGGCGUGCUUAGCUAAGGUACAACGACUGACGUAUUCGCCAUCUCUCUGUCGGGGAAUAAUGGGCAUGAAAGCUGUUGGAAUAAUUAAUGCCGGCAAUUGGAUGGAAGAUCAAGUGAUAAAUUGUUUACGAGAAAUAAGAAUCCGUGAAUAAUUAGUGUAUAUUAUAACUGAAAGAGUAUUACGUUAUGUGUUUUGGCAUCAGAAGAUUUUGGAUAUUGUGAUGACAUUGAGGUGAAUGUCGAAACAUUUUUUAUUGAUAAAUGUUUAUCAUUAGCGUAAAUAUAUUGCAAUGCAACAAUUGUAAGGAUUAGUAAUAUGCAAUAUAAUUUUGCAAACUGUACGAACAGUAAAGAAUAAGAAAUACGAAACAAUAUGACGGCUCUAAUUAGUUUUAGAAAAUAUUAAUGCUUAAUAAUUAAGUUAAGAAAAUGAUCGAUGUUGUGCGUUACUGUGACUAUUCUUCUGCUUAGAGGGAAACUUUACUGAGUGUUAAGAGCAAAAAAGUAAUAUCUUUUGGUAGUGUUUCACGAACGCACCACUGGUGCGAUUCGACUGAAUAAAUAUUCAGUUCCGCGAUACCGCGAAACACCGCAGGCGGGCAGGGAACACCUGGGUUCUCCAUUGUUGCAUAGGUAGAAAAUUUUCCGUAAUCGUAAAUGAACUUUGGCCGUUUUGUCCUAUAAAUCGCGUCGCGGCUAUCCUCGAGUUGAACUUGUCCACAACAGAGUUGGCGAAGGCGCGCGUACUUUUACAAAACGGUUGAUACAACUCGCGCGAUUACUCUAUUCCGCAGUCCGUCCCGCGAAAUCUCGAAAGCGGCAUUCGAAGAGGGAAGGGAAAACAAAUUGUAUAGAAAGAUGAAACAGUCUUAAUGGACUCUUAGAAAGGCAACGGAAUUACGGGGAGCGAAGGAA
rnacentral:lncRNA from 1 species